rnacentral:rRNA from 1 species
GUAGGUGGCAAGCGUUAUCCGGAAUUAUUGGGCGUAAAGCGCGCGCAGGCGGUUUCUUAAGUCUGAUGUGAAAGCCCACGGGCUCAACCGUGGAGGGUCAUUGGAAACUGGGGAACUUGAGUGCAGAAGAGAAAAGCGGAAUUCCACGUGUAGCGGUGAAAUGCGUAGAGAUGUGGAGGAACACCAGUGGCGAAGGCGGCUUUUUGGUCUGUAACUGACGCUGAGGCGCGAAAGCGUGGGGAGCAAACAGGAUUAGAUACCCUGGUAGUCCACGCCGUAAACGAUGAGUGCUAAGUGUUAGAGGGUUUCCGCCCUUUAGUGCUGCAGCUAACGCAUUAAGCACUCCGCCUGGGGAGUACGGUCGCAAGACUG